rnacentral:lncRNA from 1 species
CCAUCCCUCAAUAAAAUUCACAUAUGAAAUCUCUGACUCUAAGAUCACAUUUCUUGACACUACAACGCAAUUGAGGGAUGGAAACAUAUUUACAGAUCUGUAUUGCAAGCCCACAGACAAACAUCAAUAUCUAUCUCCUUUGAGUUGUCAUCCUAAACACUGCACCAAGAGCAUUCCCUACAGCCAGGCCAUACGAAUAAAAAGGAUUUGCUCCACCAACGAUAUUGCAAAAAAACGUCUACAAGAACUUCGCGGUCACCUUAAACAUCGGGGCUACAAAAGAAAAGACAUUGAUAAAGGUUUUUCUCGUGCUAACAACAUCAGCCGAGAUGAGCUUUUACAAUAUAAAGACAAAAAGGUCAACAAGAGGGUGCCUUUUGUGUUGUCUUACCAUCCAAAAUUUGACAACUUAUCUCACCUUAUCCGCGAAAAUUGGAAAGAGAUCGAAAAACAUC